GCAAAGAGAGGCGGGAGGAAGCCAGAGCGUUUUCCUCUAAGGCGGCGCCAUUUUGUACUCAGAGCCUCUACAGCCGGGGGCAGCGAUUGUAGGAGGUUCCGGAGCGGGGUUGGGAAGUCACGGAAGCGAGAAUGGCAGAACCUGUGACCGGGUCGGGCGAUCCGGCUUUUAGUCCGGUCGCUUCGGAUAGUGGGAUGCGGCGGCUCAGCGACCUGCGGGUGAUCGACCUGAGGGCGGAGCUGAAGAAGCGGAACCUGGAUACAGGAGGCAACAAGAGUGUGUUGAUGGAGCGGCUGAAGAAGGCAUUUAAAGAGGAAGGACAAGAACCUGAGGAAGUCGGUAUCAGUUGGGGAGCUGUAAGCAAGAGGGCUAUAAAGAGAAACACCAAAGGGGCCAAGAUGGAGGAGGAGGGCGGUGAGGACACCGGCCUGGAGGAAGAUUCCAGAGAUGGGCAGGAUGAGACUGUGAUUCUUCAGAGUUCACAAGACAGGGACACUGUGGAUACAGGUGUGCCAGAUGGGAUGGAGGCUCAGGACCUCAGUGUGCCCUGCCUGGGGAAGGCCGACACCGACAAACAGUCUCUUGAUGCCUUUGAUGACAGUAAAGAGUACGUGGCCGCGCAGCUGGGACAGCUUCCAGCUCAGCUCCUGAAGCAUGCUGUGAAUGAGGAUGUCUUCGAGAACACUUUGGAAGCUUCCAUGUCAGACCUUAAAGUAACUAUGGCUGGUGAAGAAGCCCCGUUGGAACCAGAAAAUGAGAAAAUACUCGACAUUUUGGGGGAAACUUGUAAAUCUGAGCCAGUAAAAGAAGAAGGUUCGGAGCUGGAGCAGCCCUUUGCCCAGGCCACGAGUAGCGUGGGGCCAGACAGGAAGCUGGCGGAGGAAGAGGACCUAUUUGAGAGCUGCGGCCACCCGGAAGAGGAAGAAGAAGAGGAGGAAGAAGAGGAGCAGGAAGAGGAGCAGGAGGAGGAGGGAGAUUUAGCUUUGGCCAGCAGCAGCAAGUCUGAGUCUUCAAGCACUCGAUGUCAGUGGAGCGAGGCAGACGCCCUGUUAGCAGUAGUGAAAAGGGAGCCGGCAGAGGCGCCUGGCGGAGGCGGAGGUACUCAGCACUGGCGGAAGCGAAAGCGAAGGCGGAAGCAUCAGGCAGAGGCAGAAGCUCUGGGCACGGGUGGAGGUACCUGGAUGGACCGCGAGCCUGUAGGGCUAGAGGAGCCAGUUGAACAGAGUAGCACGGCUGCCCAGCUCCCGGAGGCCACCAGCCAGGAGCUGGUGCGAGUGCCCACGGCAGCCCCGAGCCCUGAGCCCCGAGAUAGCAAAGACGACGUGAAGAAGUUUGCUUUUGACGCUUGUAAUGACGUCCCUGCGGCUCCUAAAGAGUCCUCAGCCAGUGAGGGCGCUGAUCAGAAAAUGAGCUUUGUUAAGGAAGAACAGGAUAUAAAGCCAGUCAUUAAAGACGAGAAAGGCCGUGCCAGCUGUAGCUCAGGAAGGAACCUGUGGGUCAGUGGACUGUCCUCCAGCACACGUGCUGCUGAUCUCAAGAGCCUCUUCAGCAAGCAUGGGAAGGUCAUUGGAGCCAAGGUGGUUACCAAUGCCCGCAGUCCUGGAGCUCGAUGCUAUGGAUUUGUGACCAUGUCCAUGUCAGAUGAGGCCACCAAAUGCAUCAACCACCUGCACAGAACAGAACUGCAUGGAAGGAUGAUCUCUGUGGAGAAGGCCAAAAAUGAACCCUCUGAGAAGAAGUCAGCAGACAGGAGAGGUUGUGACCAAAAGGAGAAGGUGCCAGGGCCAGACAGGCCUCACCCUGUGAAGAUCAAGAUGGAGAAAACUGUGAUCAAAAAGGAAGAGAAACUGGAAAGAAAGGAAGAGAAAGGGCCAGAGGACAUUAAAAAGGAGAAGGAUCAAGAUGAGCUUCCACCAGGAACCGCCAGUCAUUCUCGAGUAACCAAAUCAGGAAGCAGAUGCACGGAGCGUACAGUCGUGAUGGACAAGUCCAAGGGCGAGCCCGUCAUCAGUGUGAAGGCCACAAGCAGGUCAAAGGACAGACAGAGCUCCAAAAGUCAAGACCGAAAGUCAGAGGGCAGGGAGAAGAGAGACAUAUUGUCAUUUGACAAGAUCAAGGAGCAGCGGGAGCGGGAGCGCCAGAGGCAGAGGGAGCGUGAAAUCCGGGAGACCGAGCGGCGACGGGAGCGGGAGCAGCGAGAGCGGGAGCAGCGUCUGGAUGCCUUCCAGGAGCGGCGGGAGAAGGCUCGUUUGCAGCGAGAACGGCUGCAGCUCCAAUGCCAGCGGCAGCGUCUAGAAAGGGAGCGGCUGGAGAGGGAGAGACUGGAGAGGGAGCGCAUGCGAGUGGAGCGUGAAAGACGCAAGGAACAGCAGCGCAUUAUGCGUGAGCGUGAGGAGCUGCGACGGCAGCAAGAGCAGCUGCGGGCUGAGCAGGAACGGCGGGCACUGCGCAGAGCCUACAACCUGGAUGCUAGGAGAGAUGAUGGCUACUGGCCAGAAGGGAAGCGUGCAGCCAUGGAAGACAGAUAUCGAGACUUUCCAAGGCCAGAUCACCGUUUCCAUGACUUCGAUCACCGGGAACGGGGUCAUUACCAGGAGCAUGUUAUAGACAGGAGGGAUGGGUCCAGACCCAGAAUGGAAGAGCGGGAUGGGCCAGUAAGUUACUACCCAGAUGACCAGCACAGCCAUGGAAGGCCUCUGGAGCACCAUGGUUGGGACGCCCGAGACGGCUGGCAUGGCUACAGCUCUGACAAGAAGUUGAAUGAAGGCCUAGGGCUACCCCCUCCCCCCAGGGUCAGCCGAGAAUGGGCAGAGCACAGCUCACAGUUGGAGGAGCAGCAGGUUCCUGUCUGGCACAACGCUGUGGACACAAACAUGACGGGCCAUGAACACAUACGGUGGCGAGGUGCUGAGCGGGGCCUUACAGGACCUGGGCAUGGGCAUGUGGCAGCAGGCCGGGGUGGCAUGGCUGGGUUGAAUGUUAGAAGCUCAGCAGGUGUAUCAUGCCCUGUUCUGACUGGAUCUUGAACCACAGUGCUGUUCUGAGCAAGCAGGCCAUUCCACCCUCCGAAGCCCAGUGAUCAAGACUGUUCUUCCUCAAAUGAAACAGCAAAGUAGACUAGCAAAACAUGGGUAGGAGAUGGAGCAGUGACUUUAGUGAUACAGGAUGCUGGCUGAGGGAGCGAACUGGGCCAGGAGGCACCACACCUCUCUUCCUGGGAGCCCAGUUGUACUCUAGGUCCACAAAUGCCUGCGAUUCCUGUAACAGGCACCAGGAUGCACUGAGCAGCUACACCUGCAAUUCCUGUGGUGUCCACCAGGGGAUCCAGGCACUGUGGCUGCUACAGAAGAAAGGGCCUCAGGAUUGUGGGCAACCACUGCACUCCCUUCCGUGCCCAGAUCCAGGCUAUUUGGAGAAGGGAAGAAGGGCCAUUGGCCUGGAAACUGCUGAUUCACAACCCUGGGUCCAUGUCCCUUGCUGAUCCAGGUGCUGGGCUCCCAGCUAGAUGCAACUCGCCAGUCCUGCUGAUUACUGCUUCUGGUGUUCCUGAUGGUGACUUCCAACACUGUUGUCCAGCCUUCCAUCCCCCCAGCAAGGAACCUUCUGGUUACUCUGUGGCCUUAGGACCCAACCCUAGGAGCCUCUGCUGUCUGAAUCCUCCUCUGUCCAUCCCCAAAGCACAGCCUCCUCAGGGAAGCUCUCCAGUCAACAGGCACAGUUCCUUCUUUGGGGGACCCACAGGGCUCUGGCUAUGAGCAGGGGGUCUGCUGGAGGACACUCUGAUCCCGGGGGCCCUGAUUACCCCAUGGGUGUGCAAAGUGUAUUUCAGCACGUGUAUUUCAGCACGUGCUGUGGGUGGGCGCUCUACUGCACAGCUCUAGUGUCGGGUGCUUUAUGACCCUGUUCCCCAUUGUCCCCGUGUUCCCUCUCUCACAUGCUGGAGACUACACUGUGAGCCCAGAAGGAAAUAUUUCCAUUAAGAGUUGUACAGGCUGCAGGGGCAGAGCACGGCAGCUGGGGACUGAAUCUUGGCCUUUGGAACCAGGUUGCUAUAAAUGUGCAACUGUGCCAGGCCCUGGGGAUUUGGGUCUCUCUCUGCCUCUCCAGUCUCCUUCCAGACUCACCAGGCUGUUACUCAGCUGUGGGAGAAGCUGCUGUCCCUGUGAGAGAGCUGCUGGGGGGUGGGGUUGGGGAGCUGGCAUUGAGGGGCCAUUGAGAGAAAGCAUUUUGACAUUUAACAAACACUAUGCAAAUUGCAUGCAAAUCACCACUCAUUCCUUAAGGCAGACGGACAACCUUAGCGUGUUCAGAAAUAAUAAUGUAGGGCCUGUCCCUUGGUCCCCAUCUUGGCGGGCUUUCCUCUCCCUUCCCUCCUUCCCUCCCUCCCUCUGCUCCCUCUUUCCCUCCCUCCCUUCCCUUCUUUGAUCCAAGACCUCCUAGCCCUGAAGUGGAUGUAAAACAGCCCAAUUGGCUGCCUGAACCCUGUUUUCCAGACCAGAGAACCAAGGCCGGAGGUCCCAGAGCCACAGUGUGGAAAGCAUGUGCCCCUCCCCAACAGCCCAGGGGAGCUGUGGGGUCAAAGGUCAGGCUGCUGAGCAUGGGCCACCCACAAGCUCACCCUGUUCUCUGCAUCCUGAAAUCUCCCUGAAUUUUGGCCACAGGCCCAUCAGUUUUUUUUCCACCCCACCUUUUUAUUGUUUUUUUUUAUAAACUCCUAUUUAUUCUACAAAAGCCCUACUACCUUCAGUGCCCCAUUUAUAUACAACCAUUCCUUAGACUCCAGUAGUAGCCUCCAGUUUUCCAGGCUCCUGCUAUCUAUUCCAGCACUAUGCUCCUGUCUUAGGCCUGAGUCAUGAACCCAGGUUAGGUUUGAGGUUCUUCCCUCUCUGUGAACUCAGUUCAGAAGACCCCAGGUCAUUCAUUACCCUGGGCUCUAGGUACAGAGGUGCCACUUUUGAAUGUGUAUCAAAUAAAAGACUGAAAACAGCA